rnacentral:lncRNA from 10 species
GUCCCUGGGAUCGUCAGGUCAGGCCUUGGGCUAACGUAGGCACUCGCAGUUCCUCCGCCUUCAGGAAGGUCUUUUUAGCAGGGGCCUUACGGGUGCGCGCUUCGGUCCUGGAGGCCUUAUCCUAGCCUCCUCUCUCCAUCAGCGCCACCCGUCUGGGGCCCAAAAGGAGGGAGCUUUACCUCUGUCCCCCAGCCUUUGGAGUGUCACCAAACAAGCCAUUCGUUCACCAAAUACUUAUUAAGUGCCUGACAACGGAGAUGUAACGGCUUCCAAGGCGAUCGAUCGGGCAGUGUCGGUCUGCAGCUGCUAAGCCAAGAAGAUCUGGAAAGGAGUCAGUCAGAGAGCCUUGGGCUCUGGGAGUGGUGCCAGUUCUACAAGGCCUGGAGCAGAUACGAAAAACCUCCCUUCUUUGCCAAAUGGUCCCCAGCUUCCCCAUUCACUGAAGGCCCUGCGGUCAGGAACAGUCAGGACUUUGCACCCAGUUGUUGUGAGUGUUGGCCGACCCUUCCUCUUGUGUGAUUCAUGGACCCUUAGCAUUGCAUCACCUGGGAGCUUUUGGAAUUGAAGACUCUCAGCGCUCACCGGAAGGACCUCCUGGGCCAGAAUCUGCAUUUUAACAAGAUGCCCAGGUGAUUUGCAUACACGUUCAGAUCUGAGAAGCGCUAGUAGGAGAAGCUUUAAUGUGGUAAUUAGAUCUUUUCUCCACCUGCAGGAAUCUUAGUUUCUUCAUGUUAAAUCUAUUAACUGUGGCAAUG